GGGGGUGUAGUGACUAUCAUCAUGGUCUCUGAUUCAUGAAGUGUCUGGUGUGAGUUCAGUAAACUGGGGGUGAAAGUCUGAUCUCUUGCUGGGUUCAGGUUCUGUACACACUUUAUGUUCAAUCCAGCAGCAGGAAGAGGAGCAUAAAAAGAUUCCUCUGGAAGAAAGACCUUAACGGUUCAGUGGGUCUGGACCUCGACCCCUGUGAUGACGCUAGACAAGAGGAAUAAAGUGAAAGAUAAACCCCCCCAAAAACCCUCACAUUCCGUCCUCCCUGGUGGCUCAGUGGGUUAAGACAUGGUGUAUGGUGUUGGUCAGGGUUCAAACCCUGUUUCAGGUAUAAAACGAAAGAUAAACCCCCCUAUAAAAGCAGGUGAGUGUGUGGGACGUGACGGCUUUGUGGUAAAAGCCUUUGCCUCUGGACUCAGAGGUUGCUGGUUCGAAUCCGGCGUGUCCUGACACUGGGUGAGUUGUGAGAAUGUCUGUGUGUGGUGAGAGCAGAUCAGGUGAGUGGGGGGUGAAAGGAGGAGUGUGAUGAGGAGAAGAUUGGGGUAAAUGGUGCUUCAAAAGCCCAGAAAAAGGUAAAGUGAUAGUUUUAGGCAGAAAUUUUCCCCUUUAGAUGCAAAACUAAGUCGAUACUUUUUUCUGUUUUUUCACUGCAUAACCCCCUGCCUUCAUCUCCUCAGGGGCCGGGGGGGCAGAUGCCCGGAUAUUGCCCCCCUUUCUCAGCUUACGCCCUCCGAUACCUUCUCACAGCCUGAACCUUCCACGCAACUCUUUCCAGAACCUUCACAAUUCUCGACCCGAACCUUUCACGCAACCGUUUCAUAUCCCAGAGUCCUGGCCGGGGUUUGAACCAGCAACCUCUCAACCCAGAGGUGAAGCUCAUCCAACUGAGCCACAGGAUCUCAUACUAACAAGCUGUUUUAAUGCACAUUUCACUUUUCUAUUCUACAAACUACAACAAACAAAAGCUGAAGCUGAGGAUCAAACCAGGGACCUCAUGUAGCAGAGACGGUGAUGAUCACCACUACACCACACUGGGACGAGAGGAGAUGUUGCUGACUGCUCUUUUCUCCUGUUCAUUUCUCCUGUUCAUUUCUAGUAUUAAACUAAAAUAGACAAAAACUCGUACUUGAACGAGGACUUGUUUAAAAUCAGGCACAUAUUAUUGGUGUUUGUUCGUCUUUCUGGUUGUAAAUUUCAUUAUUUUAAACUGUUGCUAAUUGUUUUUGA